rnacentral:rRNA from 1 species
CCAAUAGCGUAUAUUAAAGUUGUUGCAGUUAAAAAGCUCGUAGUUGAAUUUCGGGAUCAAAUUGUUGGUCGUGCCUCGGUACGUACUGGCAUUAUUGAUUUCUCCCUUCUGACGAUCCGCGAUGUCAUUAAUUUGGUGUCGCGGGGAAUCAGGACUGUUACUUUGAAAAAAUUAGAGUGUUUAAAGCAGGCUCACGCUUGAAUACAUUAGCAUGGAAUAAUGAAAUAGGACGUUUGAUUCUAUUUUGUUGGUUUCUAGGAUCGACGUAAUGAUUAAUAGGGAUAGUUGGGGGCAUUAGUAUUCAAUUGUCAGAGGUGAAAUUCUUGGAUUUAUUGAAGACUAACUACUGCGAAAGCAUUUGCCAAGGAUGUUUUCAUUAAUCAAGAACGAAAGUUAGGAGAUCGAAGACGAUCAGAUACCGUCGUAGUCUUAACCAUAAACUAUGCCGACUAGGGAUCGGAUGAUGUUAAUUUUUUAAUGACUCAUUCGGCGCCUUACG